rnacentral:rRNA from 1 species
GAUCCUGGCUCAAGAUGAACGCUAGCGACAGGCCUAACACAUGCAAGUCGAGGGGCAGCGGAGAGGUAGCAAUACCUUUGCCGGCGACCGGCGCACGGGUGAGUAACACGUAUGCAAUCCACCUGUAACAGGGGGAUAACCCGGAGAAAUCCGGACUAAUACCCCAUAAUAUGGGCGUUCCGCAUGGAGAGCUCAUUAAAGAUAGCAAUUUUGGUUACAGACGAGCAUGCGCUCCAUUAG